UGUGAGACCAGGAAGGGAGGAGAUGGUUCUGGCACUCCCCUGGUUUUCUUGCUCACUUCCCCACUUUCCUUCAGUUGGACAUCCAGACUACAGGUGUGACCUGCACAGAAGCCAAUCUUGACCAAACCUACUAUUAACCGUGCUGACUGGUGUUCCCUCCGAAGACCAAGCAGUGAACACAGCAUGAUUACCUAAGUGUGCUCCUAUCUGGACUGCCUGGCUUUGCUGGCCCAGUGAUACCAGCCACAGGAUCAACCAGCAAUGACUGGUGCAUGACUGAGAUUUAGGAUCUGUGAACUGCAUGUGAGAGCAAAGGUCUCUUGAACUUGUAAUCACUUGAAGGACUAUGUACCAACACUGCCUCUGUGCACAGUCCAGAGCAGUGGUUCUCACCCUUCCUAAUGCGGCUACACUUUAAUACAGUUCCCUGUGUUGUGGUGACCCCCCCCCAACCACAAAA